UCAAGACCAGGUGUCCCUCAUCCCAAGUAGCAGUUGGGCUAUUAAGUAAGGUGGACGGGAGGAGAGUUGUGAGUCAAGUCCUUCAUUUCCUAGUGUUUGUUAAAACUGUCCUGAAAUGAAAUGUUUCAUGCAACCUGAAAAUGAAUUUUCCCUGACUUUUUUGAUUCACUGAAACAUCUGUUUGUGAUCGGCCUGAAAUGAAAUUUUGUUUGAUCAUUUGGAAAUGCCAGAAAACGGAAAAGUCAAGUGAUUCCAAGAUCCUUGGACCUGUACCUGGGCCUGGCAGCAGACAGAGUCUGUUUCCACAUAUGCUGAUUAAGUUGGUUUAGUGACAUACAGUACAUUGUGGUAUGCCAGAGACCAGUAGGUAGCAGGAGUAACUCAUCAGAGCUGCAAAUAACUGAAAACAACAAGAUAUGUCAGCUCCAAUCAGAGAAAAAGAACUCGAUUAAUCAAAAAAUUCAUCCAGCAUUCAGGAUGGCUACAGAUUCCUUAUAAAAUUAUGUUUGUGUGGCUGAGAAUAAAAAAGG